rnacentral:rRNA from 1 species
CCAAGGAGUCUGACAUGUGCGCAAGCCGUCGCGCAACUCAAGCGCUGAAGGCACAGUGAAAGCAUUGGUCGACGCUCGUCGUCGGCCGUAGUUGGGAUCCCCGGACCCUCGGGUUUGCAGGGGCGCACCAACCGUCCGCCUACUCAGUCUUGUUCUGUGUGGCGGGACGUGAGCGGACACGUCGGGACCCGAAAGGUGGUGAACUAUGCCUGGGCAGGACGAAGCCAGAGGAAACUCUGGUGGAGGUCCGUAGCGAUUCUGACGUGCAAAUCGAUCGUCGGACCUGGGUAUAGGGGCGAAAGACUAAUCGAACCUCC